UUGUGUUAAGGAUAGCAGCGGCAUCCUUUUUGAGAAACUUAAAAUAGACUGAAUUUAUUAUUGAUAACUAUACUUUUAAAAAGAAGAAAACCAUAGCACCAUAGCUAAAACCUUCUCAAAAAGAUAUAGCGGAUAGCCUGACCUGCA
rnacentral:sRNA from 2 species